rnacentral:rRNA from 1 species
AACGAACGCUGGCGGCAGGCUUAACACAUGCAAGUCGAACGCCCCGCAAGGGGAGUGGCAGACGGGUGAGUAACGCGUGGGAACGUGCCUUUCGGUUCGGAACAGACCCGGGAAACUGGGAUUAAUACCGGAUACGUCCUUAGGGAGAAAGAUUUAUCGCCGAAAGAUCGGCCCGCGUCUGAUUAGCUAGUUGGCGGGGUAAUGGCCCACCAAGGCGACGAUCAGUAGCUGGUCUGAGAGGAUGAUCAGCCACACUGGGACUGAGACACGGCCCAGACUCCUACGGGAGGCAGCAGUGGGAAUAUUGGACAAUGGGCGCAAGCCUGAUCCAGCCAUGCCGCGUGAGUGAUGAAGGCCUUAGGGUUGUAAANCUCUUUCGACGGGACGAUGAUGACGGUACCCGUAGAAGAAGCCCCGGCUAACUUCGUGCCAGCA